UACAGAGGGUGCGAGCGUUAAUCGGAAUUACUGGGCGUAAAGCGCACGUAGGCGGCUUGGUAUGUCGGGUGUGAAAUCCCCGGGCUCAACCUGGGAACUGCAUCCGAAACUGCCUUGCUCGAGUAUGGGAGAGGGAAGUGGAAUUUCCGGUGUAGCGGUGAAAUGCGUAGAUAUCGGGAGGAAUACCGAUGGCGAAGGCAGGUCUCUGGGCUAUAACUGACGCUCAUGCACGAAAGCGUGGGGAGCAAACAGG
rnacentral:rRNA from 1 species